rnacentral:rRNA from 1 species
AUUGAACGCUGGCGGCAUGCCUUACACAUGCAAGUCGAACGGUAACAGGUCUUCGGAUGCUGACGAGUGGCGAACGGGUGAGUAAUACAUCGGAACGUGCCCAGACGUGGGGGAUAACGAGGCGAAAGCUUUGCUAAUACCGCAUACGAUCUAAGGAUGAAAGCAGGGGACCGCAAGGCCUUGCGCGUUUGGAGCGGCCGAUGGCAGAUUAGGUAGUUGGUGGGAUAAAAGCUUACCAAGCCGACGAUCUGUAGCUGGUCUGAGAGGACGACCAGCCACACUGGGACUGAGACACGGCCCAGACUCCUACGGGAGGCAGCAGUGGGGAAUUUUGGACAAUGGGCGAAAGCCUGAUCCAGCAAUGCCGCGUGCAGGAUGAAGGCCUUCGGGUUGUAAACUGCUUUUGUACGGAACGAAAAGGCUCUGGCUAAUACCUGGGGCACAUGACGGUACCGUAAGAAUAAGCACCGCCUAACUACGUG